GACCGUGGGUGAACACCACAUUUAACACUGCAUUCUCAAAAACACAGCAAGGACUUUGGAGCACAGCCAAAAUGCCAGGAACGAAAGGUAAUAAGUCGGACAAGAAGUCAGCUACCAAGCAACCUCAGAGUCCUAAAGAGCAGCCGAAGAAAGUUGAUCAGAAAGGAGAUGACAAUAAGAAGCAAGGAGCAGGACAGCCGAAGGGAGAGAAGCAGUAACUUCCAGGCGUUUGUGAAAAUGGCUUUGGAGACACUACUGGGGUCCU